UACAGAGGGUGCAAGCGUUAAUCGGAUUUACUGGGCGUAAAGCGUGCGUAGGCGGUUCAUUAAGUCGGUUGUGAAAUCCCUGGGCUUAACCUGGGAACUGCAGUCGAUACUGGUGGACUAGAGUACGGUAGAGGGUGGCGGAACUCCGGGUGUAGCGGUGAAAUGCGUAGAUAUGCGGAGGAACACCAGUGGCGAAGGCGGCGACCUGGACCUGUGCUGACGCUGAGGCGCGAAAGCGUGGGGAGCGAUCCGG
rnacentral:rRNA from 1 species